rnacentral:tRNA from 1 species
UCCCUGAUAGCUCAGUUGGUAAAGAAUCCGCCUCCAAUGCAGGAGACCCUGGUUCGAUUCCUGGGUCGGGAA